rnacentral:misc_RNA from 1 species
AAACAAAUAUGCAGAGAGUCGGCACAGUGUAGAUGUAAAUAUAGAUAUUAGUUA